rnacentral:rRNA from 1 species
UGGGGGCAACCCUGAUCCAGCCAUGCCGCGUGUGUGAAGAAGGCUUUCGGGUUGUAAAGCACUUUCAGCGAGGAGGAAGGCUCUGAAGUUAAUACCUUCAGGGAUUGACGUUACUCGCAGAAGAAGCACCGGCUAACUCCGUGCCAGCAGCCGCGGUAAUACGGAGGGUGCAAGCGUUAAUCGGAAUUACUGGGCGUAAAGCGCGCGUAGGUGGUUAGGUAAGCGAGAUGUGAAAGCCCCGGGCUUAACCUGGGAACGGCAUUUCGAACUGUCUGACUAGAGUGUGGUAGAGGGUAGUGGAAUUUCCUGUGUAGCGGUGAAAUGCGUAGAUAUAGGAAGGAACACCAGUGGCGAAGGCGGCUACCUGGACCAACACUGACACUGAGGUGCGAAAGCGUGGGGAGCAAACA